AAUUGUGUCUGGUCGCAACACUUGGCUUCAAAGCCGCCGGGGCAACGC
rnacentral:tRNA from 17 species